AGCGAACGCUGGCGGCAGGCCUAACACAUGCAAGUCGAACGAAGUCUUCGGACUUAGUGGCGGACGGGUGAGUAACACGUGGGAACGUGCCUUUAGGUUCGGAAUAACUCAGGGAAACUUGUGCUAAUACCGAAUGUGCCCUUCGGGGGAAAGAUUUAUCGCCUUUAGGGCGGCCCGCGUCUGAUUAGCUAGUUGGUGAGGUAAAGGCUCACCAAGGCUACGAUCAGUAGCUGGUCUGAGAGGAUGACCAGCUACAUUGGGACUGAGACACGGCCCAAACUCCUACGGGAGGCAGCAGUGGGGAAUCUUGCGCAAUGGGCGAAAGCCUGACGCAGCCAUGCCGCGUGGAUGAUGAAGGUCUUAGGAUUGUGAAAUCCUUUCACCGGUGAAGAUAAUGACUGUAGCCGGAGAAGAAGCCCCGGCUAACUUCGUGCCAGCAGCCGCGGUAACAC
rnacentral:rRNA from 1 species